ACCGGGGAUACGGGGGUCAUGACCCCCGCAAAAAUCCCGUUCAGCUAAUGUAACCCCCACAAUAGAAUCACAUUUUUCCAGUGUAAUAAAAGCAUUAAUUAUCUUGUUGAUUUUUAUUAUUAAUAUCAUUUGCCAACAAAACAGUAGCAAGUUUAAUCAUCUUAAUGUAACCCCCCCCACCCCCACCGAAUACUUGGUAUCACCCAACCCUCCUCUACGUAACGUUCACUUUUCCCUGACCCUGUAUGUUUGGCAUCGAUGGAGACAGCAGAGCCGUGAAGAAAUGAGAAGAACGAAAAGGACAAACAACAAUUCUUCAUUGUUGGUCGACACCAACAACUUAAAAAAAAGGAAAUAUCUUGACCAAAAAGAGGUUCAAGAAUAUGAUUGCUGAACAGGCCAUGAAAGAGAGGCAGGUGGACAGAGAGGGAGAAGCACAGAUGAGGAGAGAGAGAGAGGAGGUGACAGAGGAGGUGCAACAGUUGAGCAAGAGAGAGGAGGAGGAGGUGACAGAGGAAGUCCAGGUGAUGGAGGAUCAUCAGGUGACCAAAGAGAGGGAGAGAGAGCACAGGGAAAGGCAGCACAGGAGGCACAAAUGACCAGGUAACAUACCUUAGCCCUUGUACUGUGUUAGCUUUCUCUAUACAUGCUCCACACCAGAAUAGAGGUGCAAGCUGCACUCCAGUGUGCCACCCUGUAUUGUGUGAUGUGUUGAGUGUUGCCAUGAAUUGUGCAUAAGACAUUUUCUGUUUGUACUUUAGUUGUGUCAAUACAGUGAUGCAGUUGAUUAAUCUUUAAAGUUCUGGAUUUUUUUUCAUAGAUAGUUGACAUAAACCCAAAAUCAAUUAAGUGGAAGCUGCUACGGUCUUGCUAGCUCGUACUUAAACACAAUAGGAAUUAAAUGGUCAUUGUUGCAUAAAUACAUAAGUACACAGCUGCAACAACUUCAAGUAAAUCACCAAUGUAUUUCUAAUACAGGCAUGCCAAAUUACCACGACUCCUUUUACAAAAGUAAACAAUUCAGUAAAUACCAAUAAACAGGCACAGAGUUUAACCCCCCCCCCAAUGGAAGACCCAAAGGUACGCCCUUGCAAACAGAGCCUUGAUUUUCUGUUGUUCCAAAUGAAUCCAUGUGACAGUGUUUUAAUCUUCAGUGUCAGCAGGGGAAUGUUCUGAAAAAGAUAAAUUAGAUUUGGUAAAAUAACCAUUAUCAGAAUAUUGAUUCCAGCUGUUAGUGAAACAGGAAGAGACAUCCAGCUAUCAACUGAUUGUAUUAGUGGUCCAUAAUCAGCAUCAACAUCUUCUGUCUUUGGGACAGCUUGUGUCUCCCAUGUCCUCCACACAUUACAGUGAAGAACCUGUGGAGCUGGGCAUCUUCUGUCCUUAAGCUUUAGUACUGCUGAUGUGGUUUUUAUGUACUGCAUAGCCUGGAACAUCCCCAUAUAUUCUUAUUCACUGUAGCAGAGCUGGAACGGAUCCAUUUAGUGAUGAACAGAUGAAUAUCAUCAGCAUAGAGGGACAGCUUGUGUGCAGUCUGCCCGACUCUUUUUCCGUGAAUGUGUGAUACUGGACUUUUUAACCCACAGAUCACAGAGAGUACGGGUCAACAACACCUUCUCUGAUCUACCACACACCUCCACGGUUCUCCUCAGGCCCUUGUCCUCUCUCUGCUACUCUUCAUCCUCUACAUGGAUGACUGCAGAUCCACACAGCCCAGUUCCCACCUGGUCAGAUCUGCAGACGACACAAUCCUCCUGUCUCUGCUGUCAGGACCUUCUCAGUCCUCCUGUCUCUGCUGUCAGGACCUUCUCAGUCCCACAGCUCAGUCCUCCAGCAGUUUGUGGACUAGUGUGAUGACUCUUGUCUGGAUCUGAAUGUUAAAAAAAACAAGGAGAUGGUGGUGAGCUUUUCCAACCAGCAGAUGGCGCUGACUACAGCUGUCACCUAGAGUGCUUGUAUACCAGAGUAGCGACAACUGGGGAUUUGACGCCAUUUUGUUUCCAUUCACUGCCACACACUAAUGCACCCGUGACUGUGUGUGUACUCACUUAGCAUGCUGUGUGUUUUAUUUGGAUUUUUACAUUCUAAGCUUUCUAGUCAUCGUUCAAAAGUAAAAAAGGAUGAUUGCUUAUCAAUAAUAAUGAUUUUUUUGUUACUAUUUAGAGGACACAGGAACUCUACUGGAGCCUAUCCCAAAUAUGGGACCCGCUGCGCGAGGUGCACAUUCACGAAAACUCGCUAUUUAUGGAUUGCUUACUGAUUUCAAGACAUGUUUUGGACAAAAUAUUUUACUGGCUUGUUUUGUCUGGAUGUCCAAGGUUGGAUUAUGACCGUUUUUUGUGGAAUAUUUUCAUCUGUGACUAGUUUUGAGCCUUCAAAGGUGAGUUGUGCUGUUUACGUUAUUUGCUGUUUGUUGGACAAAUGUGUUUAUAUUACCUGCUGUGGUAAUCACAUCUGAAAGUGGUUUAUACCGGCGGAUUCGUGAGAAUCUAAGCUUUCCAUGGGUGUAUAAUGUUUCUAUCAUCAAGUUUGCAGCUUCGAUCAAUUUAGUAAAAUACAUUUGCACAUACGGGCCGCUGAAGUUUAACGGGUGCAUCUCCAUGCAUGAAAAUGGUCAAAGUCAAAAUAACCACAUCUGCCGAAAAUCACAUCAAACUUUUCUAUCUGUCAUUCACCCAUACAUCAUAACAUGAAAGCACAUACAUGGGACUAAUCUGGCAUAAAAACCAUGAUGAAGUCGGUUUCCAUCCCACUCUCCGGACUUUAUUUUCCCAGUUUCAUUCUUUCACUAUUACUGGGAAAUCUAAACAUGUGGAAUCCCUUCUCCGAUCGAUUUGUGCACCCAAAGGCACAACAGCCCGUCAUUUUUCAGGUAUUUAGGAAGCGAAAAAAGACCUAGAAUUACUCUGCGUUGUAAACAACGUUAACAGGAAAACCCAGCGUUCAUGAAUUGGAAACAAAAUGGCGCCAUAGAUCACGUGACCAAAAUUUUUUGGACCCGUCAUGUCACCACUCUGAUAUACAGGCACUCCACUGUCACCACCACCAUCCAUGGACUGCCUGUUGAGCUUGUGGAGGAGUACAAAUAUGUGGGCACCAUCUUUGACAGCCAGCUGAAAUUCUCCUCUAACAGAGGAGAUUAUCAGGAAACGUCAGCAGAGGCAGUAACUCCUCAGGAAGCUCAACUCUUUUGGAGUAAAUAAGAACAUUCUCCAGACAUUCUCCUUCUCCUUCAUAGAGAGCACCAUCACCUUCUCCAUCACCUGCUGGUUCUGCUCCAUCAGCCUCCAGAACAGAACCCUGCAGAGGACUGUCACUGCUCUAAAACCAGAGGACUGCCUCUCAGAACUCUGUCUGCAGUGUAUGAACAGUGAACAUGCAGACUGGCAAACCGGAUCAUCCGUGACCCUCACAUGAUCUUUUCUCUGCGUCUGAGUGUCUUCCUUCUGCUCGAUGACUUUGCUGCCCUGCAUGCAGGACACAGAGGAGAAGGUGUACCUUUGUACCCAGGACGGUCCGACUCCUCAACUCAUGAACCAUAACACCCCUCCAUCACCACCACACACAGACUUUAACAUGGACCUCUGUGAACUCUGACAUUUUACAUUCUGCAAUUUAUAUCUGCACUGAUAUAUUCUUGUAUCUACCUCAUUGCCAUAUUUCACCUACUUUCAUUCGUAUUUGCACUAUGUAUGGCUAUAUUUGUACUAGUGCGUUACUAAGCUGCGUUUUUGGCGUACUUCUCUCUUUUUAUUUUUAUUUUCAUUCCUAUUACUUGCUCUAGAUUUGUAUAUAUAUAUUUAUCCCUAUUUCUAUAUUAUGUCAUUGUUGCACUGACUGCUCUACGUGCCUUUUUAUUGCCCCCUGGGGACAAAUAGUUUUCUUAACCUGAAUCUGUGUGUCUGUGAUCGUACAUUUGCUAAAGCUUCUACACACAGAAAAAUAAAGGUUAAAUUUUGUACCCAAAAGGCACUUUUAUAAGGAAUGUUCCAUGCAAGUACAAAGGUGGUCUUUAAGGUGAUUAACUUUGGACCUUUAUUUAAUUUCAGAGGUACAAAAUCACUGCUCAGAAAAAAUGGUACAAAGUUGUACCAGUAGGAGUCAGUGUGGAGUGUUUCCUCGCGGACGACAGAAAAGGCGCCAGAAAUGUAAAACGGCGGACAGUCCAGGUUUACGCAGCCUGUCCACCGAAGAACUUAUUAAAAAAAUAUCUGAAGCUGGGAUCAACAUUAACGAAGAAGAGGCAAAAAAAAAUUCAGGGAGAAUGAUGUCCAUGGAGAAACGGUGGAUUGUGGACUGACAGAAGCCGUGGUUGCAUACCUGUUCGACGGGUCAUUCAAAAAGCAAGUCAAGUUUCAACAGUUUGUUCGCAAGUACAAGGAAGGUGAAAUCCCCAUUACCUUAGAGCCAGUGCCAGUGGAAGUCUACUGUCCAUCUCCAUCUACAACAGAGCUUCAGUGUCUGCCAUCUACUGA